CACAAUUCUUCUUUAGUUUGUUACUGUCAUUUGAGUUUCAUCACCCUUUAACUAAAUUUGGCUAUAAAUAAUAUACCAACUAUUCAGCUACCUUAAUGAAAAGCUUAUCAAUGGUCUCAAAAAUGGCAUCCUCCCCCAUGAAGAUUUCCCUUAUGUUGAAACUGCUUUUCUUUGCUAAUUUGCUUUUCAUUGCCUCUACUACUGUUUCUGCAACAAACAACAUUCCUUUGCUCCACAAACCUCCUAUUCGUAAAAUGGGUGUGGAGUACAAAAAAGGUGAGAAGGCUGUGGUUGUACCAAAAGUAAAUAGACCAACUUCUGAUGAUGUCCCAUGGGGUGGAGGCUAUGUUCAUCGUCCUCCAAUCUUGAACAGCCCAUGAUGUAUGAAGCUUUAUAAUUGUUUGGAUGAUCAUCAGCUUUUGUGGAGCUUCAAUCUCCAAGUGUUCUUAACCCUGCAAUAAAUUACUUCAAUAAUUUCAUAA